rnacentral:rRNA from 1 species
UACGUAGGGGGCAAGCGUUGUCCGGAAUCAUUGGGCGUAAAGAGCGUGUAGGCGGCCCGAUAAGUCCGCCGUGAAAGUCCAGGGCUCAACCCUGGAAUGCCGGUGGAAACUGUCGGGCUGGAGUCCGGAAGAGGCGAGUGGAAUUCCUGGUGUAGCGGUGAAAUGCGCAGAUAUCAGGAGGAACACCGGUGGCGAAGGCGGGUCUCUGGGCCGAUAUCGACGCUGAGGAGCGAAAGCGUGGGGAGCGAACAGG